GAUGAACGCUGGCGGCGUGCCUAAUACAUGCAAGUCGAGCGAACAGACGAGGAGCUUGCUCCUCUGACGUUAGCGGCGGACGGGUGAGUAACACGUGGAUAACCUACCUAUAAGACUGGGAUAACUUCGGGAAACCGGAGCUAAUACCGGAUAAUAUAUUGAACCGCAUGGUUCAAUAGUUAAAGACGGUUUUGCUGUCACUUAUAGAUGUAUCCGCGCCGCAUUAGCUAGUUGGUAAGGUAACGGCUUACCAAGGCAACGAUGCGUAGCCGACCUGAGAGGGUGAUCGGCCACACUGGAACUGAGACACGGUCCAGACUCCUACGGGAGGCAGAAGUAGGGAAUCUUCCGAGAUGGGCGAAAGCCUGACGGAGCAACGCCGCGUGAGUGAUGAAGGUCUUCGGAUCGUAAAACUCUGUUAUUAGGGAAGAACAAAUGUGUAAGUAACUAUGCACGUCUUGACGGUACCUAAACAGAAAGCCACGGCUAACUACGUG
rnacentral:rRNA from 1 species